UGGGGAAUAUUGGGCAAUGGGGGCAACCCUGACCCAGCGACGCCGCGUGGGGGAAGACGGCCUUCGGGUUGUAAACCUCUUUUGUACGGGAAGAAGGAAGUGACGGUACUGUACGAAUAAGUUCCGGCUAACUACGUGCCAGCAGCCGCGGUAAUACGUAGGGGACGAGCGUUGUCCGGAAUUACUGGGCGUAAAGGGCGCGCAGGCUGUGCUGCAAGUCAGCUGUUAAAUGUCUGGGCUUAACCCGGGCAUGCGGUUGAGACUG
rnacentral:rRNA from 1 species